rnacentral:rRNA from 1 species
AUUGAACGCUGGCGGCAUGCCUUACACAUGCAAGUCGAACGGUAGCGGGCCUUCGGGUGCCGACGAGUGGCGAACGGGUGAGUAAUAUAUCGGAACGUACCUUUCAGUGGGGGAUAACGUAGCGAAAGUUACGCUAAUACCGCAUAUUCUGUGAGCAGGAAAGCAGGGGACCUUCGGGCCUUGCGCUGAUUGAGCGGCCGAUAGCAGAUUAGCUAGUUGGUGAGGUAAAGGCGAACCAAGGCUACGAUCUGUCGCGGGUCUGAGAGGAUGAUCCGCCACACUGGAACUGAGACACGGUCCAGACUCCUACGGGAGGCAGCAGUGGGGAAUUUUGGACAAUGGGGGCAACCCUGAUCCAGCCAUGCCGCGUGAGUGAAGAAGGCCUUCGGGUUGCAAAGCUCUUUCGGCCGGGAAAAAAUCGCAUCAGCUAAUACCUGGUGUGGAUGAUGGUACCGGAAUAAGAAGCACCGGCUAACUACGUGCCAGCAGCCGCCGUAA